UCUUAACCGUUCGUCGAUCGUUUAAGCGUUGCCGCCAAAGUUCAAUGCCUGGCCAAGUCAAUCUAGCUCGCAGGAGAGAGAAGCAACUGGGAAAGCCAAUCUUUUAGAGAGAGAAAAAUCCAGUGAGGAGGGAGAGAGAGAGAGAUACUGAGGGAAUGAGACGCUAGAUUUUUUAUUUUGGGAAGUGAAAUUCGUGUGGAAGGAAUAAAAAUGGUGGGGAGUUCACUGUCUGGA
rnacentral:misc_RNA from 1 species